CCUACGGGCGGCAGCAGUGGGGAAUAUUGCGCAAUGGGCGAAAGCCUGACGCAGCGACGCCGCGUGAGGGAUGAAGGUCUUCGGAUCGUAAACCUCUGUCAGCAGGGAAGAACGGUCACUGUGCUAAUCAGCAGUGAAUUGACGGUACCUGCAAAGGAAGCACCGGCAAACUCCGUGCCAGGAGCCGCGGUCAUACGGAGGGUGCGAGCGUUAAGCGGAAUUACUGGGCGUAAAGCGCUCGUAGGCGGGAUGGCAAGUCAAGGGUGAAAUCCCCGGGCUCAACGUGGGAACUGCCUUUGAAACUGGCAAACUGGAGUGUGUGAGAGGAUAGUGGAAUUCCAGGUGUAGGAGUGAAAUCCGUAGAUAUCUGGAGGAACAUCAGUGGCGAAGGCGACUAUCUGGCACAUAACUGACGCUGAGGAGCGAAAGCGUGGGGAGCAAACAGGAUUAGAUACCCGGGUAGUC
rnacentral:rRNA from 1 species